AACCCCCUGCAAUGUGCGUGAUUGUACGAUAGACUUUGUCCUAACGCAUAUAGAAAGGGAACUCACACUGAUACCGGUGCGCAGGUUCCUCGUCAGUAAGGAAAAGCCUGAAGGUAUUAACUGAGUGCCCACUUUUGAACCAAUGGUUCAAAGCCUUUAAAACAACACGGCAAUUUGCGGGGGCAAC
rnacentral:other from 1 species